UGCGUAGGCGGCCGUGCAAGUCUGGCGCGAAAGCCCCGGGCUCAGCCCGGGAAGUGCGCUCGAAACUGCGCGGCUCGAGUGCCGGAGGGGAGAGUGGAAUUCCUGGUGUAGCGGUGAAAUGCGUAGAUAUCAGGAGGAAUACCGGUGGCGAAAGCGACUCUCUGGACGGCAACUGACGCUGAGGCACGAAAGCGUGGGAGCAAACA
rnacentral:rRNA from 1 species